GCAAUGGACGAAAGUCUGACGGAGCAACGCCGCGUGAGUGAUGAAGGCUUUCGGGUCGUAAAACUCUGUUGUUAGGGAAGAACAAGUGCUAGUUGAAUAAGCUGGCACCUUGACGGUACCUAACCAGAAAGCCACGGCUAACUACGUGCCAGCAGCCGCGGUAAUACGUAGGUGGCAAGCGUUAUCCGGAAUUAUUGGGCGUAAAGCGCGCGCAGGUGGUUUCUUAAGUCUGAUGUGAAAGCCCACGGCUCAACCGUGGAGGGUCAUUGGAAACUGGGAGACUUGAGUGCAGAAGAGGAAAGUGGAAUUCCAUGUGUAGCGGUGAAAUGCGUAGAGAUAUGGAGGAACACCAGUGGCGAAGGCGACUUUCUGGUCUGUAACUGACACUGAGGCGCGAAAGCGUGGGGAGCAAACAGGAUUAGAUACCCUGGUAGUCCACGCCGUAAACGAUGAGUGCUAAGUGUUAGAGGGUUUCCGCCCUUUAGUGCUGAAGUUAACGCAUUAAGCACUCCGCCUGGGGAGUACGGCCGCAAGGC
rnacentral:rRNA from 1 species